rnacentral:rRNA from 1 species
UACAGAGGGGGCAAGCGUUGUCCGGAAUGACUGGGCGUAAAGGGUCCGCAGGUGGACCCGCGCGUGUGGUGUGAAACCGCCGGGCUUAACCCGGCGCGGGCAUCGCAUACGGCGGGUCUUGAGAGGGGGAGAGGUGGGUCGAAUUGCCGAUGUAGUGGUGAAAUGCGUAGAGAUCGGCAGGAAGACCGAGGGGGAAGGCAGCCCACUGGCCCCGCUCU